AUCAUUUAAAGAAAGCGUAAUAGCUCACUGGUCGAGUCGGCCUGCGCGGAAGAUGUAACGGGGCUAAACCAUGCACCGAAGCUGCGGCAGCGACACUGUGUGUUGUUGGGUAGGGGAGCGUUCUGUAAGCCUGUGAAGGUGGCCUGUGAGGGUUGCUGGAGGUAUCAGAAGUGCGAAUGCUGACAUAAGUAACGAUAAAGCGGGUGAAAAGCCCGCUCGCCGGAAGA
rnacentral:rRNA from 1 species